rnacentral:rRNA from 1 species
CAGUCGCCACGGUAAUCCGAAGGGGGCUAGCGUUGUUCGGAUUUACUGGGCGUAAAGCGCACGUAGGCGGCUUCGUAAGUAAGAGGUGAAAGCCCAGAGCUCAACUCUGGAAUUGCCUUUUAGACUGCAUCGCUUGAAUCAUGGAGAGGUCAGUGGAAUUCCGAGUGUAGAGGUGAAAUUCGUAGAUAUUCGGAAGAACACCAGUGGCGAAGGCGGCUGACUGGACAUGUAUUGACGCUGAGGUGCGAAAGCGUGGGGAGCAAACAGGAUUAGAUACCCCCGUAGUCCCUGUCUCUUAUAC